AUAAUGCAUAAUAAUAUUCGCCCCCACCGCGGGUCAGCUGCACAACGGCCACUGUGCAAUACUAUUGGUAGUAAGGCACGCCGAAAAAACAACAACAAACCGGCUAAGGCCGUUCACUCUCCGCGUCGGAAAAAACCGAGUCUUCGCAACAAUCAAUGCCAUUCGUCUGCUGGCGCGGCGGCGGCGGUGGACAAACCGUGUUGCAGGCUACCGUGGCGGCGACGCUCGUGUUCCCGGAAACCGUCAAGGCUCUCGUCGGGUAAAACGGCCACGGUUGUUUCUCAAACAGACCGGUAAACCGGAUCUAUGUUCUGUGAUGCAAAUCUAUUGUUUUCUCCGGAUCUUAAUAGUCAUCAUCGACUGCCCUAUGACGUUAUUAGAUGGGUUUACUUCAUGAAGGAAAAGUCAAGGAGCGUGUCACAUAGAAGGACGGAAUGAUGAUGAUAAUAAUAAUAUGUCAAAUAGGUCAGUUGCUCAUGACUUUAAAGGAUUACUAACAUAUUUUAACAGUUGCUUCUUAAUUUUCACGCUGGCGCCGAUCACUGAACGGAUAUAGUAUAUUUAAAUGUUAAAAAUGCUGAAUAAUUAAUAAUAAUAAAAGAAAACAGUGCAUUAAAAACUGCCGCCUCCUUCGACAUAACAAUUUCCCGCAGGUAAGCCAAUUUAGAAUUAUAUACGGGUUGUCUCGUAACUAAUUUUAACAACUAAUUUUUUCUAAAUUUUGAAUUUUUUUAAAUCAUGUUUUACGUAUCUAACGAUCGCGUUUAUUAAUUUCUAUCUCUGCACUUUAAACCACGUUAUGCAAUAUAAGAUAUCAGUAAUUAAUGAAAAAUUCAUAACUCCGUAGGAAUAGAUAUAGAAACAAAUCGAUUUAAAAUGUUUUUUUUCUAGGGACUAAAUUAUAAAAAUCGUCAAUAUGCACACAUAGAUAAAAACGUUAGUAUUAUUAGUUAUUACACAAAAAAAAAAUUAUUAUUAUACAUAGGUACCUACAACCCCGUUAGGCAAGCACAUAACGCCGUGUGUGGAGUGAUGUAACACAAUCGUUUGUAUUUUAGUACAAAUGUAAUUUUUUUCCCGUUGAAUAAAACGCAGUUUAAGUAUUUAUACAUAUACAUUUUACGUACAUGUAUUUAUACGUGCACAAUUUUCUGUAGAGAUAAGUACUUGCUGUACGAGUGUGGUAGUUUAGGUAUAGUAUUUAAACCUAUAUAUAUAUAGUUACGCAGGAUACGGCUUGCAUUAUAAUAUAUAGAUCGUUUUACACAAUUGCGAU